rnacentral:tRNA from 1 species
UGGCUCAACAGUUAAGAGCACUGGCUGCUCUUCCAGAGGACCUGGGUUCAAUUCCCAG